rnacentral:tRNA from 1 species
GGAUGUAGCUCAGUGGCAGACUGUUUGCUUAGCAUGCUCAUGGCCCUGGGUUCAAUUCCCAAUAUCUA